UGUCGUCAGCUCGUGUUGUGAAAUGUUGGGUUAAGUCCCGCAACGAGCGCAACCCUUAUCCUUUGUUGCCAGCGGUCCGGCCGGGAACUCAAAGGAGACUGCCAGUGAUAAACUGGAGGAAGGUGGGGAUGACGUCAAGUCAUCAUGGCCCUUACGACCAGGGCUACACACGUGCUACAAUGGCGCAUACAAAGAGAAGCGACCUCGCGAGAGCAAGCGGACCUCAUAAAGUGCGUCGUAGUCCGGAUUGGAGUCUGCAACUCGACUCCAUGAA
rnacentral:rRNA from 1 species